GAUGAACGCUAGCGGCAGGCUUAAUACAUGCAAGUCGAGGGACAGCACAGGUAGCAAUACUGGGUGGUAACCGGCAAACGGGUGCGGAACACGUACACAACCUUCCUUUAAGUGGGGGAUAGCCCAGAGAAAUUUGGAUUAAUACCCCGUAAUAUAGUUGAAUGGCAUCAUUUGAUUAUUAUAGCUACGGCGCUUAAUGAUGGGUGUGCGGCUGAUUAGAUAGUUGGCGGGGUAACGGCCCACCAAGUCUACGAUCAGUAGCUGAUGUGAGGGCAUGAUCAGCCACACGGGCACUGAGACACGGGCCCGACUCCGACGGGAGGCAGCAGUAAGGAAUAUUGGUCAAUGGACGCAAGUCUGAACCAGCCAUGCCGCGUGAAGGAUUAAGGUCCUCUGGAUUGUAAACUUCUUUUAUUUGGGACGAAAAAGGGCCUUUCUAGGUCAACUGACGGUACCAGAUGAAUAAGCACCGGCUAACUCCGUGCCAGCCGCCGCAGUAA
rnacentral:rRNA from 1 species